CAGUCGCCACGGUAAUACGGAGGGUGCAAGCGUUAAUCGGAAUUACUGGGCGUAAAGCGCACGCAGGCGGUCUGACAAGUCAGAUGUGAAAUCCCCGGGCUUAACCUGGGAACUGCAUUUGAAACUGUCAGGCUGGAGUCUUGUAGAGGGGGGUGGAAUUCCAGGUGUAGCGGUGAAAUGCGUAGAGAUCUGGAGGAAUACCGGUGGCGAAGGCGGCCCCCUGGACAAAGACUGACGCUCAGGUGCGAAAGCGUGGGGAGCAAACAGGAUUAGAUACCCCGGUAGUCCCUGUCUCUUAUAU
rnacentral:rRNA from 1 species